rnacentral:rRNA from 1 species
CCCUUAGAUGUUCUGGGCCGCACGCGCGCUACACUGACAGGGCCAGCGAGUACAUCACCUUAACCGAGAGGUUUGGGUAAUCUUGUUAAACCCUGUCGUGCUGGGGAUAGAGCAUUGCAAUUAUUGCUCUUCAACGAGGAAUGCCCAGUAGGCACGAGUCAUCAGCUCGUGCCGAUUACGUCCCUGCCCUUUGUACACACCGCCCGUCGCUACUACCGAUUGAAUGGCUCAGUGAGGCCUUGGGAUUGGCUUAGGAGGGUUGGCAACGACCCCCCAGAGCCGAAAACUUGGUCAAACUCGGUCAUUUAGAGGAAGUAAAAGUCGUAACA